UGAGUGGGUCGGGCGACCGCCGGAGUGAAAGCUCCGGAGGAAAGUCCGAGCAGGACAGGGCGCGGCGGCGGCUAAUGACCGCCCGGGGUGACCCGCGGGACAGUGCCACAGAAAAGAUACCGCCGGGGCCUUUCGGGGCUUCGGUAAGGGUGAAAUGGUGCGGUAAGAGCGCACCGCGUCAUCGGUAACGGUGACGGCAUGGAAAACCCCGCCGCCUGCAAGACCAAGCAAGCCGGUAGCCUGGCCCGGGCAAAAUCCGGCGGGUAGGUUGCGUGCCGAUGGGGAGACCUGUCGGCAGAGCCGGCCGGUGACGGCCGGUCCAGUGUAAUGGUCGCCAUCCGCUUACCGCGGAUACAGAACUCGGCUUACAGACCCACUCAUACU
rnacentral:RNase_P_RNA from 1 species